rnacentral:misc_RNA from 1 species
CAGCUGCUCUACCUCUACCCACUCAAAUUCAAAGCAUGAUUGCAUAGCCUCAUUAACUACAGAUUACAGAGACCGUUGACUGAAUUUACUAUUCCAACUAUGGUUGAAUCUGUGUCAUUUUUAGGAAAUUCUGUACCUAUUGAAAAUGGUGUUAAUCAUGUUAAAUUGCUUCCUGCAUCUAAUGAUGAUCAUGGGGGUGUAAUAGUCGACAUGAAGGAGCCUGUGGAACCUGACAUCUUUCUUGCCAUGCUCAGAGCUUCAAUAUCACUGUGG